UCUUAACCAAUGAAAAGAAUCUUUGGCAGAUAGCCUUUGAGUUUAAACUUCAUAUGCCCAUCUUUUCUCAGGACAAACCUAACCUUUCUUUCUGGGGAGAGAAGUUUCAUGUUGGAGGAUACACAAUCAUUGAGGAACUGAGAAAUAAAUAUUCAAGGCUUCCUUCCACCCUUGUCAAGGAGCCCAGAAGUUCAAGGGAUCCAUGCUGCUGAAGUGGUCGCCAAAAUGUUCACAUCUGCUUCUGGAUAGGCCUGAAUGUCUGUCUGGGAGUGUUCCUGAUGCCCAGAGCUGGUGGGAGGAGAUGUUUGCAACACUAUCUCUGGGAGAGAAACUCUGUAUCUGAGUCCCAAUCUCUGUGUGGAUGAGACACCCAACAGACAGAAAUGCCCGCUGAGUGGUGCUCGGUGAGAUGCUGAAUGUGAGUGUGUUGGGUCUGUGCGGAGCCAGCCUCUUGGGCCCGUCCUUCCGCCCCCUUCCCCGAGAGGCCUGGAGCAGCCGGUUUGGUAAUUGCUCUCCUGAUCCAUAUGUAGAGUAAUUAAUUAUGGCAUGGCAUAUGCAGAUCAGCUGAGGUUUUUCUCAUUAGCUGAGUUGGUGUUGGCAAUUAGGGAAGUAAAUACCCAGAGCUCUCAGAGGCUGGAGAGCUCCCUCCUCACACCUCUAACAAUUAGCCUUUUAAUUUAUUAAGGGCAUUAAAAAAUUCUUUCAAGGGCUUUUUUGCUAAUUAAAGUUUUCUUGUU
rnacentral:lncRNA from 1 species